AAGCCUAAGUACUCGUGCAUCACCGAUAGCGAACCAGUACCGUGAGGGAAAGGUGAAAAGCACCCCGACAAGGGGAGUGAAAUAGUACCUGAAACCGUGUGCCUACAAGCGGUCGGAGCGGACUUGUUCCGUGACGGCGUACCUUUUGUAUAAUGGGUCAGCGAGUUAUUGUCAGUAGCAAGGUUAACCGUUUAGGGGAGCCGUAGGGAAACCGAGUCUUAAUAGGGCGUUUUAGUUGCUGGUAAUAGACCCGAAACCGGGCGAUCUAGCCAUGGCCAGGUUGAAGGUUGAGUAACAUCAACUGGAGGACCGAACCCACUAACUUUGAAAAGUUAGGGGAUGACCUGUGGCUCGGAGUGAAAGGCUAAUCAAACCGGGAGAUAGCUGGUUCUCCCCGAAAUCUAUUUAGGUAGAGCCUCGGACGAAUACUUACGGGG
rnacentral:rRNA from 1 species